UACGUAGGGAGCAAGCGUUGUCCGGAAUCAUUGGGCGUAAAGCGCGCGUAGGUGGCCCGGUAAGUCCGCUCUGAAAGUCACAGGCUCAACCUGUGAAAGCGGGUGGAUACUGCCGGGCUAGAGUCCGGAAGAGGCGAGUGGAAUUCCUGGUGUAGCGGUGGAAUGCGUAGAGAUCCGGAAGAACACCGGUGGCGAAGGCGGCCUGCUGGGCAGUUGCUGACACUGAGGCGCGACAGCGUGGGGAGCAAACAGG
rnacentral:rRNA from 1 species